CCGGAGCAUCGAAUCGUCGCGCCGCUCGCAAGAGAGUGAGGAAAGUCCGGACACCGCAGGACAGAAGACCGGGUAAUUCCCGGGGUGCCGUCUGUAAUGGACGGCGCACGGAAAGUGCCACAGAGAAUAUACCGCCUGCCUUCGGGCAGGUAAGGGUGAAAAGGCGGGGUAAGAGCCCACCGCUCCUUCAGCGAUGAAGGAGGCACGGUAAACCCUCUUCGGUGCAAUCCCACAUAGGCAGCCGUUAAGGUCGGUCCGGCCGUGGCUGCGGGUAGGGAGCAAAGACCCGGCAGGGAACUGCACGGGCAAGAUAAAUGACGAUUCUCGACAGAAUCCGGCUUAUAGAUGCUCCGGGUGC
rfam:Leptonema illini DSM 21528 genomic scaffold Lepilscaffold_1, whole genome shotgun sequence.